UUGCAAUGAUGAUCAUUUCAGUUCUGCUUCUGAAACUAUUGAAGAAAAUAUACCAAUUAGCUGAUGU